CCUCCGCCGUUGGUCCGUCCGCGAAGGCCCCGCCCACCUCCGUCCACGCGACUCCGCCUCCUCCCGGGCCCAGCCCCCAGGUCUGUUGAAGCACGUGGAGCGUAUGAUGCGGACUGUAUCGCGGCGUGUUUCACAAGACCUGACUGCUGUACGCGGGUCUCCACCCGUGCCUCACACCUCCUUACAAGUCCCUGUGUGUGUGCAGGAUGUCGGGGGCGGGUCGGUGAGAGCGUGCUUCUUCUCCUGCCUCAGACAGUACAGAGGACUCGCCUGAAGGGGUCCCCAGGAAAGCUCACGGACAAGCAGAAGGGAGGGUGAGGGGCUUAAUUCAAGAAGAACCUUCAGACUCAGAAGGAUGCAAAACCCUGUGUGCUCUGCAAAACCCAGUCUGCCAGGUCUUUCCCACUCGUGUGGCAUGACCAAUGAAGAAAUUCAAACCCCUCGCCUUCUCUGGAUCCAUAGCUGCAGCCAAGAAUGCCAGAGCCGUCCGUGGAAGCCCACAUCGUCGGGGAGGGAGGUGUUCAGCCAUGGACUCCAAGGGUCACUGGAGUCACCUCUCCCUACCCACAAUCCCCCACUCCAGUAUGUCAGCCAUUCAAACACAGUGACAAGCCAUGACAAGCCGGAGUCUCUGUAGCCUGGGCGGUGGGAAGCUAUGGAGCUAAAAGGUCACGACAUUAACAUGCCAUGCUACAGACUGCCUAAAUUGGUGGCUUUGGGAAGAUUGAGAAA
rnacentral:sRNA from 1 species